rnacentral:misc_RNA from 1 species
AAGUCGUAACAAGGUUUCCGUAGGUGAACCUGUGGAAGGAUCAUUACCAAUUCGACCUUGGGUUUGGAAAAUGGCGUUUGCCGUUUUUCUGAAUUCCAUCCAACCAACCUUUGAUUGUGAACGUUGAGAUUUAUCAAGUCUUCCUGUGUUUGUUCACGGGGAGCAAUUUUAUCCAACCCCACUUAUCCGCACCGCGCGUGUGGAAAAAGCAAGCGUUGAGCUCCGAAACUGAAAAAAACAAAAAUGUCAUGUACAACUUUUAACGGCGGAUCUCUUGGCUCGU